rnacentral:rRNA from 1 species
ACUCCUACGGGAGGCAGCAGUGGGGAAUAUUGCACAAUGGGCGCAAGCCUGAUGCAGCCAUGCCGCGUGUGUGAAGAAGGCCUUCGGGUUGUAAAGCACUUUCAGUAAGGAGGAAAGGUUAGUAGUUAAUACCUGCUAGCUGUGACGUUACUUACAGAAGAAGCACCGGCUAACUCCGUGCCAGCAGCCGCGGUAAUACGGAGGGUGCGAGCGUUAAUCGGAAUUACUGGGCGUAAAGCGUACGCAGGCGGUUUGUUAAGCGAGAUGUGAAAGCCCCGGGCUCAACCUGGGAACUGCAUUUCGAACUGGCAAACUAGAGUGUGAUAGAGGGUGGUAGAAUUUCAGGUGUAGCGGUGAAAUGCGUAGAGAUCUGAAGGAAUACCGAUGGCGAAGGCAGCCACCUGGGUCAACACUGACGCUCAUGUACGAAAGCGUGGGGAGCAAACGGGAUUAGAUACCCUGGUAGCUACGAGU